UACGUAGGUGGCAAGCGUUGUCCGGAUUUAUUGGGUUUAAAGGGUGCGUAGGCGGCCCUGUAAGUCAGUGCUGAAAUCUCCCGGCUUAACCGGGAGGGUGGCAUUGAUACUGCGGGGCUAGAGUACAGAUGAGGUAGGCGGAAUUGACGGUGUAGCGGUGAAAUGCUUAGAUAUCGUCAAGAACACCUAUAGCGAAGGCAGCUUACUAGGCUGUAACUGACGCUGAGGCACGAAAGUGUGGGGAUCAAACAGG
rnacentral:rRNA from 1 species